AGAGUUUGAUCCUGGCUCAGGAUGAACGCUAGCUACAGGCUUAACACAUGCAAGUCGAGGGCAGCAUUGAAGUUGCUUGCAACUUCUGAUGGCGACCGGCGAAUGGGUGAGUAACGCGUAUCCAACCUGCCCUGUGCCCGGGAAUAGCCCUUGGAAACGAGGAUUAACGCCCGAUGGCGUGCAUUGACCGCAUGGGAUAUGCACUAAAUGGAAAGGCACGGGAUGGGGAUGCGUUCCAUUAGGUUGUUGGCGGGUAACGGCCCACCAAGCCUUCGAUGGAUAGGGGUUCUGAGAGGAAGGUCCCCCACAUUGGAACUGAGACACGGUCCAAACUCCUACGGGAGGCAGCAGUGAGGAAUAUUGGUCAAUGGGCGGAAGCCUGAACCAGCCAAGUAAGCGUGAGGGAUGACGGCCCUACGGGUUGUAAACCUCUUUUAUGCGGGGAUAAAGUGCUCCACGCGUGGAGUUUUGCAGGUACCGCAUGAAUAAGGACCGGCUAAUUCCGUGCCAGCCGCCGC
rnacentral:rRNA from 1 species